rnacentral:ncRNA from 15 species
AUAGAUUCAUACAAUUUUACUCAUAUAAUAGCGAGGAUAUGGCUUGCAAGUUUCUACCGAUUUACCGUAAAUAAAUCGACUAUGGGUAGCAAUGCUUUUAGA